UGGUCUUGACAUGUACGGAAUCCUCCAGAGACGGAGGAGUGCCUUCGGGAGCCGUAACACAGGUGCUGCAUGGCUGUCGUCAGCUCGUGUUGUGAAAUGUUGGGUUAAGUCCCGCAACGAGCGCAACCCUUAUCCUUUGUUGCCAGCGAUUUGGUCGGGAACUCAAAGGAGACUGCCGGUGACAAGCCGGAGGAAGGUGGGGAUGACGUCAAGUCCUCAUGGCCCUUAUGACCAGGGCUUCACACGUCAUACAAUGGUCGGUACAGAGGGUAGCCAAGCCGCGAGGCGGAGCCAAUCUCACAAAACCGAUCGUAGUCCGGAUUGCACUCUGCAACUCGAGUGCAUGAAGUCGGAAUCGCUAGUAAUCGCAGGUCAGCAUACUGCGGUGAAUACGUUCCCGGGUC
rnacentral:rRNA from 1 species